rnacentral:rRNA from 1 species
UGAGUAACCUACCCUUAACUCUGGGAUAAGCCUGGGAAACUGGGUCUAAUACCGGAUAUGACUCCUCAUCGCAUGGUGGGGGGUGGAAAGCUUUUUGUGGUUUUGGAUGGGCUCGCGGCCUAUCAGCUUGUUGGUGAGGUAAUGGCUUACCAAGGCGACGACGGGUAGCUGGCCUGAGAGGGUGACCGGCCACACUGGGACUGAGUCACGGCCCAGACUCCUACGGGAGCAG